UACAGAGGGUGCGAGCGUUAAUCGGAAUUACUGGGCGUAAAGCGUGCGUAGACGGUUAUUUAAGUCGGGUGUGAAAGCCCCGGGCUCAACCUGGGAAUUGCAUUCGAGACUGAAUAGCUAGGGUACGGUAGAGGGAAGCGGAAUUUCCGGUGUAGCGGUGAAAUGCGUAGAUAUCGGGAGGAACAUCAGUGGCGAAGGCGGCCCUCUGGUCCAGUACUGACACUCAAGUGCGAAAGCGUGGGGAGCAAACAGG
rnacentral:rRNA from 1 species